rnacentral:rRNA from 1 species
UACGUAGGUGGCAAGCGUUGUCCGGAUUUACUGGGCGUAAAGAGCGCGCAGGCGGCCGAGUAAGUCGAAUGUGAAAGCCCCCCGGCUCAACUGGGGAAGGUCAUUCGAUACUGUUCGGCUCGAAGAUAGGAGAGGGAAGCGGAAUUUCAGGUGUAGUGGUGAAAUGCGUAGAUAUCAGGAGGAACACCAAUAGCGAAGGCAGCUCGCUGGGACGGUACUGACGCUAAGGCGCGAAAGCGUGGGGAGCGAACAGG